GAAGGAUGGAACGGUUGUUUGCGAAAAUGAAGAGGUUACCAUCAGUGUUCAGCCAUACGAAAGGGUAGAGGUUGUUCUCGUCAGGGUCGUCUGUUUGUUUUAGGAGCAAUGAGUCAAAUAGCUUCUUGUUGUUCUGUCCUUCCUCUGGGAUGUAUUCGUAGUUCAAGGCGUCUCGUCCUCCAAUCACAAAGAACUUUCCGUCAGGAAGAGAGGCUUGCGUUGAGUACCAUCUCUUUGCAGCUAGGGCUUGAGGGUAUUCAAUCCAUACACAGUUUGGACAAGCAGCUAGGUACCUCGCCGUGUUGGCUCCUCCUCCGUAUCCUCCAGUGCUCACCAGUGUUCCGUUGAUGGUCAGACCUCCCGAUGAGCACCACGUAUCAGUAGUAAGCUAUCAUCAAAAUGUGAAUAAAGAUAUUUAAUACAAGUCCAAGUAAAAUACUAUACAUGUAUACAUGGCCGGUAAAAACAAUUUAGUAAAUUUAAUACUUUAAAAAUAAUAAUUUGGGGAUCUAUGUUUAUAUAUAUAUUAAAUCAAAAAAUUUGGAGGUUCAAGACCAAUAUUUCACUUAGUUAUGUGCAUGACCGGCUCUGUUAAUAUAUGCAUGCAUGUGAGUAGGGAUUGAUAAGUACGGCUAGAGGCUUAAUGGCACCGGUGUUGAUGUCAACGAGAACCGAAUGAGCCCAACAAUCGACCCUGUUAAUCUUGGGGUCGACGACGUGACAUGGUACACCUGGAGGCAGCUUAAUCUGUGAGAUUCUCCAGAUGGUUGCGUCAUAGAACUGGACUUGGUUGAUGACUGGCAUCAGAAUCGCAUGCAUCGCUGACACACCUGAGUUUGGUAGGAACGGCAUAAAUGGUAGAUCAGGAAACACGGCUUCCGACACAGCUGCAAGUACAAGGACAGUUACUGUCCAUAUGAAUCUUGUUGAGGCUCUCAUUUUUUGUAAUUUUUGUAGUUUUUAGAUUUUUAGAUUUUUUUUUUAAUUUCUUUUUUUGGUUGAGGAGAUGAGAAAUUUGAUGCUUAUUUGGUUUAUGAAUGCCGGAGUAAUCAACUUUGGUCUAAGCGUGUUUUAUAGGUUGUUUUACUUGAGUUUAUUUUUAGGGAUUGCUAUUUUUAUGUGUGUGGUAAGAAGACUCUACAUCAAUCAAAUUCUAGUUUUGUGGA